GCCAGCUUGGCUCAGUGGUAGAGCGUGUCAACAGUGCCGUACCUAAGAAAUAUCUUUAGAAUAGCAUCUGUUAAUGGCAAGAUCAUCAGUUCGACUCUGAUAGCGGGUA